rnacentral:misc_RNA from 1 species
CAGUUGAGGAUGUAAGUUCCUUUGAGUGAAGAUUCAUUUUAUGUUUUAUCUUUUUCAAUUUGAGGAAGCUUUCAUAUGAUGAUCUAUUGUUAUCUUGCUAUCCUUAUUUUCCUUAUCCUUGGUUACAUAUCUUAGACUGUCUGCUGGACUGUUGGCCUGUAUCAACCAUGAAUUGGGUUUAAUUAGUCAGAUUUUUUUUAAUAGGUUGCAAAGACUGUG